AUACUUACCUGACGCGAGAGGCACCUUGAUCAACUAGGAGGUCCUCUCAGGAUGAGGCCCUUUCAUUGCACUUCGACUGGGUUGACUCCUGCGAUUACCCCUAAUGUGGGUAACUCGAGCGUAUAAUUUCUGGUAGUGGGGACCUGCGUUCGCGCUCGUCCCCU
rnacentral:snRNA from 2 species